rnacentral:rRNA from 1 species
AGCGGAAAGCUCAGUAACACGUGGCCAAACUACCCUGUGGAUGGGAACAAUCUCGGGAAACUGAGGCUAAUUCCCAAUAACGCUCCACCCCUGGAACGGGCGGAGCUGGAAACGCUACGGCGCCACAGGAUGUGGCUGCGGUCGAUUAGGUAGACGGUGGGGUAACGGCCCACCGUGCCAAUAAUCGGUACGGGUUGUGAGAGCAAGAGCCCGGAGACGGAAUCUGAGACAAGAUUCCGGGCCCUACGGGGCGCAGCAGGCGCGAAACCUUUACACUGUACGCAAGUGCGAUAAGGGGACUCCGAGUGUGAAGGCAUAGAGCCUUCACUUUUGUACACCGUAAGGUGGUGUACGAAUAAGGGCUGGGCAAGACCGGUGCCAGCCGCCGCGGUAAUACCGGCAGCCCGAGUGAUGGCCGAUAUUAUUGGGCCUAAAGCGUCCGUAGCUGGCCGGACAAGUCCGUUGGGAAAUCUGUUCGCUUAACGAGCAGGCGUCCAGCGGAAACUGUUCGGCUUGGGACCGGAAGACCUGAGGGGUACGUCCGGGGUAGGAGUGAAAUCCUGUAAUCCUGGACGGACCACCGGUGGCGAAAGCGCCUCAGGAGGACGGAUCCGACAGUGAGGGACGAAAGCUAGGGUCUCGAACCGGAUUAGAUACCCGGGUAGUCCUAGCUGUAAACGAUGCCCGCUAGGUGGUGGCGCAGGCUACGAGCCUGCGCUGUGCCGUAGGGAAGCCGAGAAGCGGGCCGCCUGGGAAGUACGUCUGCAAGGAUGAAACUU